rnacentral:rRNA from 1 species
UGAGGAAUCUUGCGCAAUGGGGGAAACCCUGACGCAGCAACGCCGCGUGGGUGAGGAAGGUCUUCGGGUCGUAAAGCUCUGUCAGGCGGGAAGAAAUGCAUGGAGGUGAACAGCCGCCAUGCUUGACGGUACCGCCAGAGGAAGCACCGGCUAACUCCGUGCCAGCAGCCGCGGUAAUACGGGGGGUGCAAGCGUUGUUCGGAAUCAUUGGGCAUAAAGAGCGUGUAGGCGGCUUGGUAAGUCAGAUGUGAAAGCCCUGGGCUCAACCCGGGAAGUGCAUUUGAAACUGCCAGGCUCGAGUAGGGGAGAGGGAAGUGGAAUUCCUGGUGUAGAGGUGAAAUUCGUAGAUAUCAGGAGGAACACCGGUGGCGAAGGCGACUUCCUGGCCCUAUACUAACGCUGAGACGCGAGAGCGUGGGUAGCAAACAG